AAGUCGUAACAAGGUUUCCGUAGGUGAACCUGCGGAAGGAUCAUUAUUGAAUAAACUUGAUGUGGUUGUAGCUGGCUCUCUCGGGAGUAUGUGCUCGCCCGUCACCUUUAUCUUUCCACCUGUGCACUUCUUGUAGAUUUGGAUGUAACUGUCCGAGGCAACUCGGUUGGGAGGAAUGUCAUUCUUGGCUUUCCUUGUAUGUCCAGAUCUAUGUCUUCAUAUACUCCAUAAAAAGUAACAGAAUGUAUCACUAGGCCUUGUGCCUAUAAACUAUAUACAACUUUCAGCAACGGAUCUCUUGGCUCUC
rnacentral:misc_RNA from 1 species